GAUGAACGCUGGCGGCGUGCCUAAUACAUGCAAGUCGAGCGAACGGACGAGAAGCUUGCUUCUCUGAUGUUAGCGGCGGACGGGUGAGUAACACGUGGAUAACCUACCUAUAAGACUGGGAUAACUUCGGGAAACCGGAGCUAAUACCGGAUAAUAUUUUGAACCGCAUGGUUCAAAAGUGAAAGACGGUCUUGCUGUCACUUAUAGAUGGAUCCGCGCUGCAUUAGCUAGUUGGUAAGGUAACGGCUUACCAAGGCAACGAUGCAUAGCCGACCUGAGAGGGUGAUCGGCCACACUGGAACUGAGACACGGUCCAGACUCCUACGGGAGGCAGCAGUAGGGAAUCUUCCGCAAAGGGCGAAAGCCUGACGGAGCAACGCCGCGUGAGUGAUGAAGGUCUUCGGAUCGUAAAACUCUGUUAUUAGGGAAGAACAUAUGUGUAAGUAAAUGUGCACAUCUUGACGGUACCUAAUCAGAAAGCCACGGCUAACUACGUG
rnacentral:rRNA from 1 species